rnacentral:snRNA from 1 species
GGAUGUGAGGGCCAUCUGGUUGCGACAUCGGUCACCCCACUGAUUGCCAGGGUUGAUUCAGCUGGCUGAUCUGGCUGGCUAGAUAGGUGUCCUCUUCCUCCUCACCGCUCCAUGGGCUUCCCUCCUAAAGCUGUGAGCUUGGUGGAAGAGGACGAUGACCUUCCCUGAUAAGAGGAGGACCAUUCCUCGGUCAAGGGUAGCUGCGCUUCCCUGUAGAACCUCCAAACAAGCUCUCAAAAACUUAGUUCUGUGCCUAGGCAAUUCUAUUCAUUUAAAAUGAAUUUAGAUGAAUUCCAUU